rnacentral:rRNA from 1 species
GACGAACGCUUGCGGCGUGCCUAAGAAAUGCAAGUCGAGCGAGGUUAUGGGGCUUGCUCCAUAACCUAGCGGCGAACGGUCGAGUAACACGUAGGCAACCUGCCCUGAAGCGGGGGAUAGCCCACCGAAAGGUGGAUUAAUACCGCAUGUGGUCACCGGAGGGCAUCCUUUGGUGAUUAAAGCAGCAAUGCACUUCAGGAUGGGCUUGCGGCCUAUCAGCUAGUUGGUGAGGUAACGGCCCACCAAGGCGACGACGGGUAGCUGGUCUGAGAGGAUGGUCAGCCGGACUGGGACUGAGACACGGCCCAGACUCCUACGGGUGGCAG